rnacentral:rRNA from 1 species
AUGGUGCUCAGUGCUAUAGGAAGGAAAUAUUGGUGCAGAUGGCAUGAAUACAGCAUCAUACAAACAGCUAAGUAUGAAAACCACCUUGUUGAUCAUGGCGCCGCCCAAGACCUUGAGCUGCCGCUUGAGAACACCCUGCUCAUCUCCCGUCCUACGAAGAAGCAGAGGUCAGGGAGGCGCAGUACAGCACCGAGGGCAGCCAUCGGUGAUGGGAGGACCCUGGAGCCUGGUGUACUGAAAGCAGUAGCGUCCUCGUCGUUGGCGGCGGCGUCGUCCAGGACAUUGCCACAUCUUCUAGGUCGACCCCUCAAUCGGCGAUGCGAUGCGGCGUUCAAUUGA